UACGUAGGGGGGCAAGCGUUGUCCGGAAUUAUUGGGCGUAAAGAGCUCGUAGGCGGUCUGUCGCGUCUGCUGUGAAAACCUGGGGCUUAACCCCGGGCCUGCAGUGGGUACGGGCAGACUAGAGUGUGGUAGGGGAGACUGGAAUUCCUGGUGUAGCGGUGAAAUGCGUAGAGAUCAGCCGGAACACCCAAGGCGAAGGCAGCCUUCUGGGCCUCAUCUGACGCUGUGGCGCGAAAGCGUGGGGAGCGAACGGG
rnacentral:rRNA from 1 species